CAAUAGCGUAUAUUAAAGCUGUUGCGGUUAAAAAGCUCGUAGUUGGAUUUCUGUCAAGGACAACUGGUCCGCCCUCCGGGUGAGCACAUAGUUUGGUCUUGGCAUCUUGCUGGAAACUGUUGCUGCGCUUGGUUGUGUGGUGCAGCUUUCAGCACUUUCACUUUGAGGAAAUUGGAGUGUUUCAAGCAGGCACAUGCCUUUGGACACAGUAGCAUGGAAUAAUUAGAUUGGGCUUUUGCUCCAACUUGUUGGUUCCUGGAGCUGAGGUGAGAAUCAAUGGGGAUUGUUGGGGGCAUCCGAAUUUAGCCGUCAGAGGUGAAAUUCUUGGAUCUGCUAAAGACGGACAACUGCGAAANGGNNNGCCCAGGAUGUUUUCAUNGA
rnacentral:rRNA from 1 species